rnacentral:rRNA from 1 species
CCUACGGGAGGCAGCAGUGAGGAAUAUUGGUCAAUGGCCGGAAGGCUGAACCAGCCAAGCCGCGUGAAGGACUAAGGUGCCAAGCAUUGUAAACUUCUUUUGUCAAGGGACAAAAUCAGGCUCGAGAGCCUGACCGAGGGUACUUGAAGAAAAAGCAUCGGCUAACUCCGUGCCAGCAGCCGCGGUAAUACGGAGGAUGCGAGCGUUAUCCGGAGUUAUUGGGUUUAAAGGGUGCGUAGGCGGACGGUUAAGUCAGCGGAAAAAGCCCGGGGCUCAACCCCGGCGAGCCGUUGAAACUGGGUGUCUUGAGAUGGCGAGAGGUAGGCGGAAUGCGUGGUGUAGCGGUGAAAUGCUUAGAUAUUGCGCAGAACCCCGAUUGCGAAGGCAGCAUACCGGCGGCGUGCUGACGCUGAGGCACGAAAGUGCGGGUAUCGAACAGGAUUAGAUACCCGAGUAGUC